UCAUCGUUAGCAUGUGAUCACAGAUGAAUGGACAACAAAACAUGGAAAUCACCACCUUUCACUUUCGUUUCCUAUUAUAGAGUAAACGAGGAAGCAAAAAGCAUGUAAUUCAUAUUGUGAUGAAGACAUUUGGAUUAAAAAUUGAUACUGGAGGACGGUGAACCUCACACAGCACCCUUUGUUCUCAGCCUCUGUUGUUACAUUGGUGAGUCAAUUCCCAUCAAGUCUGGAAAACUAUUGCAUAACAGAGGCAGUGAAAUAAACAAAUCUUGCUACUUCCUCCACCAGCAUAAUGUUUUGGUCAAAUAAUGAUCGGAAUCGAUAGAAACGAUACGCCUCCCACAAACAACCUGCUCGUUAGUCAUCAACAGUACACUGCACACAGAAUGGAUGGAGACAGAAGUAAACAGCAAUCUUACAGGUACAAGCCUCGGGCAUUAUAAAACUUGUUUAUUUACCUGUACACUGUCCAAAUUUAAGAAAAGUAUCUGGUUUUGAAUAGACGACACAAGUUUGUAUGUAAAUACUGUAAGAACACUUGCAAGAUUUCGUGACAUUAAUAUGAUGUUUGAAUAAAAACAUUUCUGUUGUCUUAUGUUGGUUUCCGAAUUUUUCAGAUUGUGAAUGAUAUAGUCAACUGAUUUUUACAAUUCUUGUAUUAUCAUUUUCUGCUUGCCAAGUUGUCUCGGUGAAAAAAAAUAAAAAAUUUGAAGAAAA